rnacentral:snoRNA from 1 species
CCUCUAUCCGGAUGAACCAAAUUAUGCAUAGUUCAAUCAGAUUAAAUCGUGAUCGAAUACUAUCAUCGUCUUUCGCUCCUAUCUGAAAUCUCAU